rnacentral:rRNA from 1 species
GACGAACGCUGGCGGCGUGCCUAACACAUGCAAGUCGAACGGAGAUAUGGAGAUUCGUUGAAAUAUCUUAGUGGCGGACGGGUGAGUAACGCGUGAACAACCUGACCUAAAGAGGGGGAUAACAACGAGAAAUCGUUGCUAAUACCGCAUAAGACCACGACCUGGCAUCAGGAUGAGGUCAAAGGAGCAAUCCGCUUUAGGAGGGGUUCGCGUCCCAUUAGCUAGUUGGUGGGGUAACGGCCCACCAGGGCGACGAUGGCUAGGGGGUCUGAGAGGACGAUCCCCCACACUGGUACUGAGACACGGACCAGACUCCUACGGGAGGCAGCAGUGAGGAAUAUUGGUCAAUGGGCGGAAGCCUGAACCAGCCAUGCCGCGUGCAGGAUGACGGCCCUACGGGUUGUAAACUGCUUUUCCCCGGGGCGAACUAACCCCCUCGCGAGGGGGACGUCGGCCGGGUACGGGAAGUAAGGAGUACGGACGUACGUCCGUCGCCGACGCGACGCCGGUACGGUAACGACGACGUACCGUACGUACUGACGUACGUACG